GGAUCAGUGCGCUGGUCGUGCCUUCGGUAUGUACUGGUGUUACUGGUUUCUACCUUCUGAAGAACCGUCAUGUCAUUAGUUUGGUGUGGCGGGGAAUCAGGACUGUUACUUUGAAAAAAUUAGAGUGUUUAAAGCAGGCCCACGCUUGAAUACAUUAGCAUGGAAUAAUAGAAUAGGACUGCGGUUCUAUUUUGUUGGUUUAGGACCGAAGUA
rnacentral:rRNA from 1 species